rnacentral:rRNA from 1 species
AGCAGCCGCGGUAAUUCCAGCUCCAAUAGCGUAUAUUAAAGUUGUUGCAGUUAAAAAGCUCGUAGUUGAAUUUCGGGAUCAGUAGGUUGGUCGUGCCACUGGUAUGUACUGGUCUUACUGAUUCCUCCUUCUUGUGGAACGGUAAUGUCAUUAAUUUGGUGUUGCAGGAAAACAGGACUGUUACUUUGAAAAAUUAGAGUGUUUAAAGCAAGCUAACGCUUGAAUACAUUAGCAUGGAAUAAUGAAAUAGGACGUUUGAUCCUAUUUUGUUGGUUUCUAGGAUUGACGUAAUGAUUAAUAGGGAUAGUUGGGGGCAUUAGUAUUCAAUUGUCAGAGGUGAAAUUCUUGGAUUUAUUGAAGACUAACUACCGCGAAAGCAUUUGCCAAGGAUGUUUUCAUUAAUCAAGAACGAAAGUUAGGGGAUCGAAGACGAUCAGAUACCGUCGUAGUCUUAACCAUAAACUAUGCCGACUAGGGAUCGGAUGA